UGUUGUCCAUUGAAAGCCGUUUAGUUUAUAUUUAAUCGCUGUCGUGGCAAGAGGGAAUUUUCGUGUCGUUCUCGCUUUCUGUGUUUGGUGACUUGCUGGCUGGUGCCAUCGCCUUCUCCGGACUUUGACUUAACUAGACAGAAAGAUUCAGUUGAGCUGCUGAGUUUCGCGCGUGCUGCUUCAUCAUCGGUGCGCGUUUAAGCGCGAGAUUUGUGGUGCCCGUGUGGAAACAGUUAAAAAUAACUUAAAAUCUUCUUCUUGAAGAGUACUCAACCCAACAGUUCAACUGUUAUUGAGAGCAACGGAACGGAACGACCCAGCUGAGUAGAGGCAAGUGACAAAUAUUCAAGACCAGACGGCUCAGUCUGUGGUUGCAUGUGAAGUGUGUUUACUGGGUGACAUACAGACAGACAAAAGUACCGAGAAAAAAGUGUGUUCUUGCUCAAAGGAAGGAGGUGAAGUGCAGAUCUCGGCGAAAUAAGUGAGAUUGAAU